rnacentral:rRNA from 1 species
UACAGAGGGGCAAGCGUUAUUCGGAAUUAUUGGGCGUAAAGGGCUCGUAGGCGGCCAACUAAGUCAGACGUGAAAUCCCUCGGCUUAACCGGGGAACUGCGUGUGAUACUGGAUGGCUUGGAUUUGGGAGAGGGAUGCGGAAUUCCAGGUGUAGCGGUGAAAUGCGUAGAUAUCUGGAGGAACACCGGUGCGAAGGCGGCAUCCUGGACCAAUAUGACGCUGAGGAGCGAAAGCCAGGGA